UGAAGCUCUUCGUCUUCUGGGAAAGCUGGUGCCAUAGCACUGGCUUCUAUGCACGUCGGGCGGUGAGCCUUUGCUCCGUGACAAGUCUUGGGGGCGCUUGUCACACACUGAGUCACCUAAAGAUACUGCGUCUCGGUCAGUGUGCCCCCACAAACCCCACCGGCUGGAUGAGAGGUCUGAGACGUGUGUCCAGGAGGGAUGACAAGCCGCUGGCGCCGUUUUUCAUGAUGCUGUUGGGCAGGAUCCUGUGCCGUGAAUGGGGUGCAGAGAUGUCCUUCAGGACGUAAUCGUGUUGUAAGCAGGUUGAGAAUCAUGGAACCAGAGGAAUCAACUGCCUAAGGUCACCAUCCUCUGAACCUUCAACAAGUCAUAAUAGUAACAUCAAAGAUCACAGAUCACAGACACCAUCACAAAUCGAAUCAUAAUGAAAAAGUUUGAAAUAUUGCAAGAAUGACCAAAUAUGUGACACAGAGACACGAAGUGAGCAAAUGCUGUUGGAAAAAUAGUGCUGAUAGACGUCAUGCUCAAUGCAGGGUUGCCCCACACGUUCAAUUUGUAAGAAAUACGGCA